CUGCUUUAUAUUAUAUAAAUAGAUACUUUUUUACUACUACAUAGAAGAGCCAAUCAAGGACGAUCAAAGGUAAAAAAGAAAUUUCAUACUAAUAAAAGUUACUUUUCCAUAUUCUUCAACCAUCCGGUUCUUUCUUUCGCCAACAACUCAACAUACGCAGCACUACUCUCAAACGAAAACUCAAAAACUCAUUCACUCUGUUUCUCCUGCUGCAUCCCCCACAGUCCUCCUCCUCCGCCGUCAUUCUCCGACGAAACUCCGAUAAGUGGCGUAGCAUUUUCAGUUUUCUUAACGGUAACGGUAACGGUAACGGGAAUAGACACAAACGGCAUUCUUCACCGGAGUUCCGUUAUGAUCCUUUGUGUUAUUCGUUGAAUUUUGAAGAUGAAGCGAACUUCACCAACUUCUCUUCUAGACUUUCUCUGUCGCCGGUGAUGGUGACGUAACCGGCGAAGUGAAGGUGAAGCAUUUGGGUAUUACAGCUGUUAAUGUUGUUAUCGCACACUUAUCUUGAUCUUAAGGUUUUGAAUCCAAAUGCUGAAUUACUCAACAAAUCGGCGGCGCUUCACAUGAAUAUCAAUGCUGCCAAGGGUUUACAGGAUGUUCUUAAGACUAAUUUCGGGCCUAAAGGCACUAUUAAAAUGCUUGUUGGUGGUGCUGGUGAUAUUAAAAUUACUCAGGAUGGAAAUACCUUGCUGACAGAGAUGGAUGUUAAUGAUGUGCUAGCUGGUAUAGAUCAUGUCAUAGAUAUGGGACUUGCAGAUCCAUCUAAAAUAAAUGUGCUCGGUGGUUCCCUUGGUGGAUUCCUGACAAGUCACUUGAUUGGCCAGGUACCAAGGACCUCCGUAUACCAAUGUGUACAGGCUUGCAAGAAUCAAAAUGUGUCAAUGCCAGGCAAAAACAGUGGUAUUGUCAGAUGCGUUGCAACACCCCCUACGGAGAAAACUUCUUACAAGACACAGGUCUCUCGCGAUGAGAACUUGGCUAAACUUCAAGCUGGUUAUCUGUUUCCUGAGAUCGGAAGAAGGAGAUCUGCACACAUGUUGAAACACCCCGAUGCUAAAAUUAUAAGCCUUGGAAUUGGUGACACUACUGAGCCCAUUCCUGAAUUUAUAACUUCUGCCAUGGCACAGAGAGCACAUGAACUUUCAACAUUAAAGGGUUACAGUGUUUAUGGUGCUGAGCAAGGAGAAAAAGCUUAUGUGGAUUCAAGUGUUAUUAUCUGCCAAACUGGUCAGUUUCAGAAGGAUGUGGAGAAGUAUGGAAAUAUUGCAUACAUGAGAUGUACUCCAGAAAACGAUUUCUUUCCUGAUUUAUCCAGUGUUCCACGGACAGACAUUAUAUUUUUCUGUUCGCCUAAUAAUCCAACUGGUGCGGCGGCAUCAAGGGAGCAGCUGACUAAAUUGGUGCAAUUUGCUAAAGACAAUGGCUCAAUCAUUGUUUAUGAUUCUGCAUAUGCUAUGUAUACAUGUGAUGACAGUCCAAAGUCCAUCUUUGAGAUUCCUGGAGCCAAAGAGAGUGGAGCAGAUGAGAAAAACAUGGAGAGACAGGACAAGAGUGGUAGAAAGAGAAAGAAAAACUGCUCUGCCAAAACCAAUGUGAGGAAGAGAAGUAUCAGCACGAGCAAAGGCAUGAGAUGGAGCAAAGAGAAGUUUUUGCAGAAAGAGUCUACGAAAGCAGAAAGAAUGAGACUUAAAGAAGAAAUGCACCGAGAUGAAAAGGUUGCUAGGUUUGAAACGGAUAACGUAAUGGAUUGCCUGAAGAAUAUUAGCGAAAGAAUCAAUAGGGGAUGCAGGAACAUGAAAAUGGAUUGGGAAAACAAUUUAGCAACGGGGACAUGUUAUUGUCAUAGAUUUGAUGAUCGAGUUCCUCUAUACAGGAUGCUGGAACAUGAAAAUGGAUCAGGAAAACAACUUGGUACAACAAUUGACAUGAAAUCCUUGGCAGAAUCACUGAGAUAUCACUUGAAGACAGACAUCGAAAUUUUGACCGUGAAUGGCGGAGGCGUUGUUUACUAUUGAAGCAGCAUGGUGACUGGAAAUUAUUUGUAUCAUACUAUAGAGGUGUUCAGCGAUGAAAAUCCAAAUGGUUCCAUUGUUCUGUGAACAAUUCUGGCGCCUGAUUAUAAAGAACCAUCUCUUAGCAUUCCUGGAACUCCAGGAAUAGUGCAGCAUGAGAUUUUGAACAACAGAAGACAUGUCCUGACUAAGGUAAGUUUUUUUUUCUCCUUUAUAGCCAUGUGGCGUAUUACUUUUUGUUGUUGAUGAGGGUAACUGUAUUUUAAAAAAUAUGAUUCUGGAUCCUCAUGAUGGAUUGUGUGUUUUAAAGGAUACUGCUGGUACAGUGAAAGUUGUGGGAGAUCACUAGAGGCACUGUGAUUCACAACUAUGGAGGGGUUAGAAUGUAAUGUUUCAAGUGGCUUGCUAAAUUACAGUGGCAUAUUUUUAACGAACGCUUUUAUUUAAUUUUCUUUGAAUUAUGACAGUUGUCACCUUCUGCCUCUAAGCUUCUUUUCGUCAUAUAUAUUGUUUUCCAAAUGUAGGUAUCAUUUGAUUUGAGAAGAAGAAAGAAGAACUUAUUGAGAUGGUAUAUAUUAUUGUAAAUUAAUCCAACUUUCACAUAUAAUUUUUCUCCUCAUAAGAUUUUCCUGAGGCUUGGAAGCUUGGCUGUACAUCUGGAUAUGCCACAAUGCUUUUCUGAUGAGAUGUACUCUGCGGACCUCAACAUUCCAGGGAAGCCUGAAGAUGACAAGGAAUCUUCCUCCACGGCAAGUUUGCAAAUUACUGUGAUUCCUAACCACUCAACAAAUCAUUCCUAAUGCUGUCACGUCUACUUCUGUUAUUAGAGCGUGUGGAGAAUUGGGUGAUUUUAAUUUGGGAAUGUGUGUGUAUUGGGUUUGGUUGUUAAGCUAGGACAAUAUUUGAUAGAAGGCAAGAGUAAAGAUGUCGUUUCUUGGAUAGCAUUCUAGAUAUGUAUGUUCAGCUGGGAGAGAUGCCAGAAAGAAAUGAAUUUUCCUGGAGUACAAUGAUCUCGAGGUACAGUCAGAGUGGUAAUGCAGAAGAGGCUGUGAAUCUCUUCAUUUGAAUGGUCCAACAGGGGUUUAAACCUAAUAAGUAGCGUAGUAAGUGCAUUGGCCAGCCUGGAAGCUUUGCUAAUCAGAGGUGGAGCUACAGUGUAAUACGGGAGUUCGGGCGAAUCCAGUAGCUUUUCCGUAGGUCGAAAAAUCAUAAAAUAUGUAUAGCUACAUAGCUGGGAACCCACAUCAAAAUGCAAGCAGAUAGCUCAAUGGUCGCGUGCAUGCAUCAAAAGGCCUACUUUCCCCAAGAUUGUGGGUUCUCGAAACCUUCUCAAUUUUUCCAUUUUCUCAGUAUAUAGAUAUUUUGUAUUUUGAUGAGAAAACAUAAACUUAUAUAAUUGAAAGAAGUAAAAAAGCAACGUCUU